rnacentral:sRNA from 1 species
CGUUUGUGUAUUGCGAAGACGGGAGGACGUACGUCGGCGUCGUCGGUCCACGGUAAAAGCGAAUUAAAACGAAAAGCGUAAAGCGGAAAGAGCGCUAAAACAAGCGAGCAACCGAAAACAGAACAAAAUCAUAACCAAAGUGGCGUUUAUUUUCGUUUAAUUUUUUUUUUUUUCCUGUUUUAAAAAAACAACAAAAGAAUAAAAAAAAAGCGCGCCAAUUAAUGAGUGAAAGAGUUUCAAGACAAACUAAAAAUUAAUUUUGAAAAAAAUAAAUAAUAACAAAUAAAUGUCGGCUCGAAUUGUGAAUAAAAUAAUUUUAUUUUUUUGCCUACACCCCCAUGCUGCAGCCAUGCAGUCACCGUUUCUUUGUCCAACCAGCCUGAAAUGACCAAAUUGGCUAACCAAAACAAACUGUGAAAAGAGAGCAAA